GGAUGGUCCUCUGCUGCACGCCUCUGCCACACGUUACUGAGCACUAGGAACAAGAAGAAUAUCUAGUUACCAUUAAAGGAAUAAUAUCAAGUGCGGUAACUUUUCUCUGACUUCUACAUCAAAAGUUUCCAAACUUUUAGGGCCUGGGAUCCAGAUGACGUUGGAGAGCAAGCACUGGAAUCAAUGGUUUUGUUAUGUGACGGCAGUAAGCCUGGACAGAGAAUACGUACAUUAUUUCAGCAUAUGCGUUCCAUAUGCGGAGACUCACCAUGGCGCUUAUUUUAAGAUUGCGCUCACAACCGACUGAAGGCACGGAGACCCCAAGACCCCCAAAUAUAUCUUUUAUAAACUGUGGGAUGAGUAACGCAAGGCAAUUCCUCAAUGCCAAUCCAAUUCACCAAUCGAUGGACUCCGUUGAUCGACAAUUUCUCAGUGGACUAACAAAAU